rnacentral:rRNA from 1 species
AACGAACGCUGGCGGCAGGCCUAACACAUGCAAGUCGAGCGAGGACUUCGGUUCUAGCGGCGGACGGGUGAGUAACGCGUGGGAAUGUGCCCUUCUCUACGGAAUAGCCCUGGGAAACUGGGAGUAAUACCGUAUACGCCCUAUUGGGGAAAGAUUUAUCGGAGAAGGAUCAGCCCGCGUUGGAUUAGGUAGUUGGUGGGGUAAUGGCCUACCAAGCCGACGAUCCAUAGCUGGUUUGAGAGGAUGAUCAGCCACACUGGGACUGAGACACGGCCCAGACUCCUACGGGAGGCAGCAGCGGGGAAUCUUAGACAAUGGGGGCAACCCUGAUCUAGCCAUGCCGCGUGAGUGAUGAAGGCCUUAGGGUUGUAAAGCUCUUUCAGCUGGGAAGAUAAUGACGGUACCAGCAGAAGAAGCCCCGGCUAACUCCGUG